AUGGUCAUUUUAUUCCUUGAGCUUAUGAGAAGAGGGUGCAACACAUUUGAAUUGGGGGUGCAUAUGGAAAGCACUAUUACGAAAAAAAUUAAAAUAAGUGGAGAAGUGUGAUGAUUGAAUUUGGAAAGCUGCUGCACAUGGUACAUAAUUAAUUAAUAUUGGAAAAUGAUUGUUCAACACCCACAUUUGACACAAAUUUGACACCGUCCCAGGUGUCAAAUUUCUAUUGGCUUUUAAGUUUUAAUUGGAUUAUGUUUUUUGAAAAAUCUGAGGAGGGUAGAAUAGGAAUUUUGAGAGAUGUGUUUUAUGAGUUUUGAUUUGGCGGUUUAUUUUUCACUUUGCUGUGUUGGGUUUUUCUAUCUCCGUUGCUAUCUCCAUUCCCGCACCUUCAUCGUUGGGUUUUGGUAUCUCCAUUGCUAUCUCCAUUGCUGCGACUGUGUUGCUUGUUGGGAAAAAGGCAGUCUUUCGCAAGGUAGGGAGGUGUUCUCGUAUCUUCUUUAUCGGGGGCUUGGGUUUCUUGUGAGUUUCGUGAUUGGACUCGGUCUCGCAUUCCUUUGCUAUCUCCAUUGCUGCGUUGGUGUUUUCCGAAGCGGAAAAAGGUUGUCUUUCGCAAGGUAAGUUGUAGUUGUGGUAUCUUCUUUUUGGGGGGCUUGGGUUUUUUGUUCGUUUGGUCAUUGGAAUCGGUCUCGCAUUUUGUUGUUUCUAUUUCUGUACCAUUGCUUCUGAUUUUUGUCUUCCACGUAAUUUAGGGUUUAUAUUUUUUUUUUGUGAACCCUAAGCAAG
rnacentral:lncRNA from 1 species